rnacentral:rRNA from 1 species
CCUACGGGUGGCUGCAGUGGGGAAUAUUGGACAAUGGGGGCAACCCUGAUCCAGCCAUGCCGCGUGUGUGAAGAAGGCCCUCGGGUUGUAAAGCACUUUCAGUGAGGAAGAACGCCUGGUGGUUAAUACCCAUCAGGAAAGACAUCACUCACAGAAGAAGCACCGGCUAACUCCGUGCCAGCAGCCGCGGUAAUACGGAGGGUGCGAGCGUUAAUCGGAAUUACUGGGCGUAAAGCGCGCGUAGGUGGCUUGAUAAGCCGGUUGUGAAAGCCCCGGGCUCAACCUGGGAACGGCGUCCGGAACUGUCAAGCUAGAGUGCAGGAGAGGAAGGUAGAAUUCCCGGUGUAGCGGUGAAAUGCGUAGAGAUCGGGAGGAAUACCAGUGGCGAAGGCGGCCUUCUGGACUGACACUGACACUGAGGUGCGAAAGCGUGGGUAGCAAACAGGAUUAGAUACCCCUGUAGUC